CUGGGAGGUGACCUGUGUAAGCAGGAAGCGAUCCUGAACAAGCAGACCCACAUUUAGUCAAGUGUGGUUGUGGCUCUUGUGGGUCUUUCAAGCCAGCUAAUUCUUUCUCUGGGAAAACAAAUUUGGAGUUCUAGCCUGUCUGCUCCCAGCCAUAUCCUAAACUGGUGACAAUCAUCACGACUGCUGUUGAACAUCUCCCAAAACCUCAAUGGCUCUGUGGUGUCUGGAUCCGAUGGCUCUGUUCCCUCAGAAGACUAAUGAGGCAUACUUUUAUGGCUACAACUUUACAGAGUACUGACAAUCCACAAUGUAUGGUCAGUCAUAGUGCAAAUCCAGUAAGGAUGUAUCCCAUUCACCAAUGAAAAUGAAUUUUUGUUAAAAGAAAACUCCAGAGAAUAUGUUUCUGAUAAACUUCAAAAUCGAAGACUCUUAAAAUUAAGUUCAAUCCGUUUUUUGAGAGAGCACAAGCAGGGGGAGCAGGAGAGGGAGAAAAAGGCUCCCUGCUGAGUAGGGAGCCCAACAUGAGGCUCCAUCUCAGGACCCUGGGAUCAUGACCUGCGCUGAAGACAAAUGCUCAACCAACUGAGCCACCAGGCACCCCUAAAAAAUAAUUUUAAACGAAAUACACACUAAAGUAUUUAGAGAUGUUAAGAUGUCUGCAACUUACUCUCAAACACUCCAGCCAAAGUUUAUGCACACAUAUACCUGCACACACAUGCAUAUGUGCACACACAUAGUGCACAACCAUAUGCACACACCUACACAUGUGCAUACACUUGCACACAUACCCACACAGAAGAGGUGAAGAGAGGAGAGAGAGAAUAUGAUAAAGCAAAUGGGGUAAAAUGUUAACAUGUAGAGAAUCUGCAUGAGAAAGGGAUCAAUUCAUGAAUUUCCUAGGAUUUUUUUUUCCACUGUAAGAAUCUACUACAGUAGAAGCCCUGAAGUUGAGAUUUAAUUAUUUAUUUAUUUUAGUAAUCACUGUAACACAACGUGGGUCUCAAACUCACAACCAGAGAUCAGGAGUCCCAUGCUCUACUGACUGCAGCAGCCAGGAGCCCCUAAAGUUGGGCUUUUAAAAUGGCUCUGCUGACCGCUCACCACAAGGAACAUUGCUUUUCAAAACCAAAGUAAAAUUUUGAAUAAUUUGCUCUGGAGACAGAAAUCACUCUGACAAUAUAAUUACUGAAUAGUGGUUAUGUAGGAAGCUGCUUCUCACAUGGGCUGCUCUCGCUGAAGAUGCCCAGGGUGACCGUGAGCAGGGACAACAAGGUUUCCCUACAGAUUGGUUACCGCUCUCUUGAGCAGUACUGAGGAGUUCCACUGGCCUCACAUAAGCAUCUCCUUUUCCUUAGAAUGGACACUUUGUCUUAUCUUUCAAAAUCUUUAGGGUUGAGAGAAUUGUUACAAAAGAAAAAAAUGUAUUUCAUCCUAUUUAUUCUUCU